UAGUUAUAUUUGCAGUAAUUCAAUGAAAACGUGUACUCUGGUAAUGUACUUGUAUGAAUCACUGUUUGUAUACAUGUAGGUCGACACUGUCUGGCUUGAUGUUAGGUGUCCAACAUCAGCCUCUUCACAUUACCUAGCAGAUGCUUUGUGUUCCAUGCCAAACCUGACUAGACUGACACUACGUGGAAAGGAUUUCAAGGAGGAGUUCUAUUCUGUACUGAAUGCAAAGGCGUCAACCUUACAGGAUUCUUUUCCUCAAAUCAGUAAUGGAAAUUUCAUAUUCAAUGGAGUUCCCCAAGCGGAUUUUGAUUCAUUCCUGCAGUCACUCACUGACUUUCGACGGAGGAAUUACGUCUCAAACGAGGCGGAUGACUUCUCAGACGUGAAAAAACUGUUAAAUCGCCUUAGAUGAUGAGGAUGACUUAUGAUGCACAUCACAGCCAUCAGAAUAACUUCAAGAGCCACACAAUGGCAGUGUACAACCAUCCAGAUCGCACAGCUGGAUUAUGUGCUUCUCGAUCUCAUAGAACUAUCUCCAAGACGGUUCUAUGACACUUGCUACUGUGACAGUUGUUCCACGUCGGUUUCCUACACUAACCAAAAUUCCAACUUCAACCUCAGGCCUUACAUAUUACUGUAAAGAUAAAGUUAUAUUUAACACUAGUAAUGAAACAGCAAAUUCAAUGUACUUCAUAUCACAACAUAGCAACGUUUUAUUCAUACACAUUAAAUAUAUCACAUAACGUGUACCUAACCAUAAACACUAUUACCUGAACUCUAGAGUGCAACCCUAACCCUAUAUGUUUCAUGAAGUAUAGCCUGGAUCAUAGGAUCAAACGUUCACCCUCCAUGGCAACUUUUGUGACAAGCAUUUUUUCCCCUCAUCCACAGGGUUCCUUUAUUAGACAAUAGCAUACAUUCAUGUAGAAAAUACACAACAUAUACAUCUACAAUCAUGCAAAAUUCAAUAUUUACAUCACUUGGUCAAACUAAAAUUUAUUUUACAAAAUUUUAUCGAAGCUAAAAUCAAUCAUAUACGGCAUUCAAAUUGUUUUAUAUGACAGACGAUGUGUUUAAACGUAAACACAAUAAAAACAAAAUUGAUGAAAUAACACUACCUUUUCAUGAAUUUCUUUUCUCUUAGAUUUGUUUUACCAAUACCGGUACAUUUUUCCAUCUCAUGAUAAAAUGUUAUAGCUGACAUAAUAUUGUCAAAAACGUAAAUGUUUGUUCGACUGGACUGCAUUAAGAACAAUUCUUUUCUUACCACCGUGACAAGCAGCUGGUCAACCAAUUAAUCGCAAGGUGUAACGCCUGAUCAUUAUCAAUUCAGAAAAAAUAGCUGUGAAGGAUGACUUACUGAAAUCUUUUAUUUUUGUCUGCACUUAUAAAAGUAAGUUGCAAGAAUGAAAUUUGAAACCUGGGCCCUGUUUUAUGAAACUUGUUAUCAAUAACAAGUUGCAAUAACUGUAUAAGCUCCUGAAAUGGUUGCAUUUGAUUGGCUGAGAGCCAAUUUGUCAUAGAAAUGUGACACUUGAUAUUGAUAGCAAGUUUUAUGAAACAGGGCCAGAGUUGCUUUGAGCCAGUUUGUCUGGGAGUGGGAUUCCGUUAUGAGGGCCCUCUUACUUUAAAAGUUAAAAGCUAUGUCAUACACAACUCAAAAAAUAAAUACAAUUACUAAAUACACUAUCCUGAUUGGUUGAAAAUGUAAUUUUAAUUUCAGCUUUUUAUGGCAGAGUCCCCAGAAUGCAAUAUUGACUAUGAUGUUGAUUUGUAUUGUGAUUAUAAUUUUAUUCAGUAUUAACAGUACCAUGUUGUACUUAAUUUUAUGCAUUCUGUUCAGGUUCAGAUGAGUUGAGGAUACAAAGUUGGGCCCCGAAAGUUUACAUGCACCUGGAAGAAACUCAUUUUCUCAGAUUUUCUCAACUGCACUCAUUCCCAUCAGGUGUCACUCAUCUCAGAGUGAUUAGUGAUGUAUAUGUAAUAAACUGAGACCAUAUUUGUUGUAUCUUCCUGAAGUGAAAAUUUGGCAGGAAUGAGUGAAACUGUGAUAAUGUAUGUCUGGCCCAACUGUAUGGGUAUGUACAUCUAUGAUUCAGGGAUUUUUCCAGUACUUUACAAUUUUUUUGUUUUUUCUUUGUCUUCCAUUUUUUAACUACUUUAGAUGAGUACCAAGUUUUGUGUGCCGUUUGCUUUGUAUAUACUAUAAACAGAGAUAGAAUUUUUCUAUCUUCCUGAAGUGAAAAUUUGGCAGGAAUGACUGAAACUGUGAUAAUGUAUAUCUGGCCCAACUCUACAAUUCAGGAAUUAAUUAUUCCAGUACUUGACAAUGUUUUUGUUUUCUUCUUCAUUGAACUAUCAGUAUACAUGUACCAAGUUUGUGUGCCUUAUGCUUUGUAUAUACUAUAAACAGAGACAAUUUGUCUAUCUUCCUGAAGUGAAAAUUUGGUAGGAAUUAGUGAAGUUGUAAUAAUGUAUAUCUGGACCAACUCCAUGUAUGUACAUAUCACAAUUCAAGGAUUAUUCCAGUACUUAAUAGCAUUGUUGUAUUUUCGUUCUUCCAUUUUAACUAUCAGGCCUCUGAGUAGAUGUGUACCAAGUUAUGUGUGCCUUAUGCUGAAGGCCUGCAUGUAUGAACAAAGUGGUCAUGUGAUUUGAUAAUAGCCUUGAUGCCAAGAGCUACUUGUAUAGGAGUGAAAUAUGCAUUGAAAUCCUGAACUAUGUGACAUGUUGAAAAUGUCAAAAUCACCAUUUUUCUAUACAAAAUGGCAUACCAGUGUGUGUUAACCGUACGACAUACUUCUCAUCAGUGUAUAAAUCAAUAUCAUGAAGAAAAUCUGAUCACUGUAGUCCAAAUCAUAUGACCUUAUGGUUUGUAAGUGUACAGCCUUGUAUUUAUGAUAUGCAAAGGAUUCCAAAUUAACUGAAAUUGAAAUGUUAUUACAUCUGAAAUAUGUUCAUAACAAACAUUUUUGUGCUAACCAUGUUUAUGUGUACAGAGUAUAUGUCAAAGAUUAAAUUAUUUGUUGUAUUUCUUA
rnacentral:lncRNA from 1 species